CCUACGGGAGGCAGCAGUGGGGAAUCUUGCGCAAUGCGCGAAAGCGUGACGCAGCAACGCCGCGUGAGGGAAGACGGCUUUCGGGUUGUAAACCUCUUUCAGUUGGGACGAAGCCCAGACGGUGAACAGCCGUACUGGGUGACGGUACCUUCAGAAGAAGCCCCGGCUAACUACGUGCCAGCAGCCGCGGUAAUACGUAGGGGGCAAGCGUUGUCCGGAAUCAUUGGGCGUAAAGAGCGCGUAGGCGGUCCGGUAAGUCUGCCGUGAAAGCCAGGGGCUCAACCCUUGGAUGCCGGUGGAUACUGUCGGGCUAGAGUCCGGAAGAGGCGAGUGGAAUUCCUGGUGUAGCGGUGAAAUGCGCAGAUAUCAGGAAGAACACCAAUGGCGAAGGCAGCUCGCUGGGACGGAACUGACGCUGAGGCGCGAAAGCGUGGGGAGCA
rnacentral:rRNA from 1 species